GGAUUGGAGUCUGCAACUCGACUCCAUGAAGUCGGAAUCGCUAGUAAUCGUGGAUCAGAAUGCCACGGUGAAUACGUUCCCGGGCCUUGUACACACCGCCCGUCACACCAUGGGAGUGGGUUGCAAAAGAAGUAGGUAGCUUAACCUUCGGGAGGGCGCUUACCACUUUGUGAUUCAUGACUGGGGUGAAGUCGUAACAAGGUAACCGUAGGGGAACCUGCGGUUGGAUCACCUCCUUACCUUAAAGAA
rnacentral:rRNA from 9 species